CAUCGAGGCUCACGGUCCAAAUUGCGCCAACUUCCUUUUGAGAAAAACUGAAAGUAAAGAUUAAUUCAGAUCGCACGAUGGAGCCCGCUGGACGCCGAUGUGCACCGACACGCACUGCUCAUCUUCUCAGCUGAUUCGGCCGUACAAUUAAUCAAACAUUUUGACGAGAGGAAAAUAAUAAACGCGUGUGAUUCAACCCCGGCGUAUCGUCUCGCAGCUUUUUUUUCUUCGUACCCCUGUGACGGAAGAACUGUUUUUUUAAUAAUCGGUAUUUCUGUCCGGAACAUCGUCGUGUGACACAUGACAACAACAAUACGGAAGCGGGCGAGGAUCAGCUGACACGAGAGGCGCUGCGGCCGCACUGUCUUAUCAGUUUAACCUGCUUUCAUCGUCAUGGAGGACCAGGAGAUGCAACUCAAAGUCAGACGAGUGACUGACAAAUUCACGGAGAGCAUGUACGUCCUGGCUAACGAGCCGUCAGUGGCUCUGUACAGGCUGCAGGAGCACGUCAGGAGGUCCCUGCCCGAACUGGUGCAGCACAAGACAGACAUGCAGAGCUGGGAGGAGCAGAGUCAAGGAGCCAUCUACACUGUAGAGUAUGCAUGCAGCGCUGUGAAGAGCAUGACGAACAGCAGCAUGUACUUCAAAAAUAUCGACAGCCUCCUCCGUCAGGCCAUCAGCAUGAAGGAACAGAUAAGCAACUCUCAAGGACGCAGACACCUGCAUGAAGCUUACAUGAUGUGACCCCCUCUCCCAGUCCCCUUGUCUCUGCUCCACAUGCCCCAUCCACUUCUUCAUGACCUCUGGACAGAGGUGUCCAAGGAAAAGGACUAUGGACUCAAGCAUGCUAAAGGAAGGGGGAGAAAAGCACAGCACUGGGAUGUGACGUGACUUCCUGAGCUGUUGGUGUUGCCUCUACAGUCUCCUGCUCUGCUACCUCUUGGUUGAGGCUGAAGGGGAGGUCAUAAGGGCGACACCUCCUCAUCACAAUGGAGUGACUGCCUCCAGUGAGCCCCAUAGUACAAGCUGCUCAGUGGAACAGCGCACCACAGCACUGCCAGGUCCAGCAUUAAAAACACUUAAGUCAUGGACGCUGCUCAAAGAAUGCAUUGUUCUCUCAGAGUCUCUGGAAGGACCAGAGAGAAAGCGGCUGUGCUGGUUUUGCCCCUGCGGUUGAAAAAUCCACUGCACCGCCAAUGUUUUGGAUACUAGUUUUCAGGGUUUUGUGAGUUUGUUGUUAGAGGACUAAAAAGCACCCUGCAUGCAAAUUAUAAAAGCUUAAGACAUGUAAGAACAGUUCUAACUUGUUUUUCUGUACAUGCCAGAUUUGUCAACAUGUUCUUAAAGAGAAAAUCCAGAAUCUUCACUCUUUUGUUCUUACCUGACAGAUAAACAGAAACCCCUAGGCAGAACAAUCCAAUAGCCACAUGUCGCACAGCUCUGCUGUCCAAAAGAAACCAGUCUGCUCUGUGGAAACAAAUGUCAUGUGUUGAAUGUCGUGCCUGAGAUAUGUUUACACUUAAAACACUGCUACUGUAGUUUUCUCAUCACUGAAUAAAUGAAGAUGAUUUUAUGCAACAUCA